AUCCGGUCGGCGGAUCCGAAAAAUAUUCGCGAUGAAUUCGAAAACGUGAAAUGUUUCCGAAAUCAUCGAGAAUGUUUGCGAUAUUGGAAAAAAUGUUUUCGAUAUCGAUGCCAAAUGUUUUCAAAAUCGCAAUCACCAUGUUUGCGGUGGGCAUUUUUCGUACAGUCCGCCGCAGCCAAUGCGUUACGCUGUCAGGAUCAGCUGUUCGCAUCGUUCGCAAGUAGUAAACAAACAUACAACCUAACCUAUUCUUGUUCUGUUCGUUGGUUGAGUGUUUAUCUCAAAAAGUGUUUCAGAUAAAUUUCAGUAGUUAGACGGUGAGUAUUAUAAAUAACACUUAUUCAUAUUUACCUUAUUUAAAUGAUUCUAAUUAUGAUUGAUUUUCUGAUUUGCUUCAGGUUGGCAUGGUGGUUUACGACUUUAAUUGUCGGGGGAAGAGUUGUUGAACUCGAUAUUUUCCAUCUGGCCGGUGCAAAAGUGACAUCGAAGAAGGCGGUUCCCAAAAGGCAGAUCAAACCUUGACGUCAGAUCGAGAGCAGAUUUUUCGGUUCGCAAAUCCCGGCGGAGUUGGAUGAUGUAGAGGACGUAAAAAGGACAAAUCCGCAGAGGCACCACUGGACGGAACCUGCUCCACCAGUUCCACCUGCUGCCGUAGCAGUAACCCGAAACAUCGUUUAUCGUUUCCCAGAUCAACAACACAUCACUCUGCGCCGGCAACAGUUCCGGGUUAAACAAUCUUCCAGCGAUCCCAGCACAUCAGCUUGGAUUCUUCCCGUGCUGAAACGAAAUCCGACCGACCAAUCUGUUUCCGAACAACAAAUAUCUCCCGCAAGGUCGCGAAACUAUGAAUUCUGUACCCCAGCGCCACCAGCAAUCUCUCCGGCGGUUCAUCAACGGAAUGAAUCCAUGCAGAUACCGCACACUCCGUGCACCAUGUUACGACGACAGCGAUUCCAGAAACUCUGGGUUGCCGGUUCCAGACUUGCCGCAGAUUCUGAAUAGCUUAGUUGAGAUGAAACUCAUGGCAUAUCAGACUAAUCCGGCGGAACUUUACCUGCCACGACCCGAACUUGGCUGGAGCAUCGAUGGUUGUGCCCAUUUACUCGCCGGUGGAAAAUUGUCGGUGGCCAGAAAUUCUGAGGCAGCUGUGACAGCUUAAAGUCAAAAAAUCAGCUUAAGGCUACGGCUCACGAUUGCAGCGUGAGUUUGGCAAACGCCUUCACAGAUCCGACUGCUGGCGGAGAUUCUGAGGACUUGUUCCCGGCGGACAGUCUUCUAACGGAGGACACUCUGCUCAAGUCGAUCCUUGAGCGUCUUCGUUGCCCUCGUGUGGCGCCAGAUGCUCCAGAGUCACUCGGGCUCCGGCAUGAACCUGAGUCCGCACUAAGACCUUUCCCGAAGGCACGGAGAGGAAAAGAGCAACAAUCUCCUGGACGAGGAGAACUUCUGAUGGUACGCGAAUCCGCUCAAGGGACGUGCCAGAUCAACCACCCGUGCACGAUGCACCUGUCUCAGCACUUCCGUCCGGGUCGCCUCGCCGCCGACGUCACCGAGCACGAGAAGGACCCGCCGCGGUGACGGUUCCGGCCACAAAGACUUGGGCAAGUGGAGCAUCAACAAGUGUUUCCAAGCAAAAGCAAAACACAACUGAUUGAAUCAAAAUUUUGUAGUAAACCAUUCACACAAUCCCUUUCAUUUGUUUUUGUACUAUGAAUAAAUAAAUAAAAAAAAUAAACCUCUUCUUCUUCUUAUUCCCAUUUGAAAAAUCGAGAAUCAACGGUCAAUUCAAAAAGGUAAAUAUUGUAGUGGCUGCGUUCUGCGUGCUUUUGGCGGGGUAGGCGUUACUGCGUUACGUUUGCGAUAUCGAAAAUCAUCGUUUGCGAUAUUGGAAGCAAUGCUUCCUGCUGACGGGUGCAAACCAAGAUUUGCGAUUUUUAGAGUAAAUCGGAAGCAAAGUUUGCGAUUCCG